CCUACGGGAGUCAGCAGUGGGGAAUAUUGCACAAUGGGGGAAACCCUGAUGCAGCGACGCCGCGUGAGCGAUGAAGUAUUUCGGUAUGUAAAGCUCUAUCAGCAGGGAAGAAAAUGACGGUACCUGACUAAGAAGCCCCGGCUAACUACGUGCCAGCAGCCGCGGUACUACGUAGGGGGCAAGCGUUAUCCGGAUUUACUGGGUGUAAGGGGAGCGUAGACGGGGGUGCAAGUCAGAUGUGAAAGCCCGGGGCUCAACCCCGGGACUGCUCUGGAAACUGUCCGGCUGGAGUGCGGGAGGGGUAGGCGGAAUUCCUGGUGUAGCGGUGAAAUGCGUAGAUAUCAGGAGGAACACCGGCGGCGAAGGCGGCCUGCUGGACCGCGACUGACGUUGAGGCUCGAAAGCGUGGGGAGCGAACAGGAUUAGAUACCCUGUUAGUC
rnacentral:rRNA from 1 species